rnacentral:rRNA from 1 species
UAGGGAAUUUUCGUCAAUGGGCGCAAGCCUGAACGAGCAAUGCCGCGUGAGUGAGGAAGGCCUUCGGGUCGUAAAGCUCUGUUGCGAGGGAAAAAGGAACGGAAGAGG